AUGGUAGGAUAGAGGCCUACCAUGGUUUUAACGGGUAACGGGGAAUUAGGGUUCGAUUCCGGAGAGGGAGCCUGAGAAACGGCUACCACAUCCAAGGAAGGCAGCAGGCGCGCAAAUUACCCAAUCCCGACACGGGGAGGUAGUGACAAUAAAUAACAAUAUGGGGCUCUUACGAGUCUUGUAAUUGGAAUGAGUACAAUUUAAAUCUCUUAACGAGGAACAAUUGGAGGGCAAGUCUGGUGCCAGCAGCCGCGGUAAUUCCAGCUCCAAUAGCGUAUAUNAAAGUUGUUGCAGUUAAAAAGCUCGUAGUUGAAUUUCGGGAUUUAUCCGUCGGUCGGGCUUUUGGGUCUGUACUGGCGUGAUGGAUUCCUACCUUCUGAAUAACCGGCAUGUCAUUAAUUUGGUGCGCCGGGGAAGCAGGACUGUUACCUUGAAAAAAUUAGAGUGCUUAAAGCAGGCUUAUGCCUGAAUACAUUAGCAUGGAAUAAUGAAAUAGGACGGCAUGGUUCUAUUUUGUUGGUUUCUAGGAUCACCGUAAUGAUUAAUAGGGAUAGUUGGGGGCAUUAGUAUUCAAUUGUCAGAGGUGAAAUUCUUGGAUUUAUUGAAGACUAACUUCUGCGAAAGCAUUUGCCAAGGAUGUUUUCAUUAAUCAAGAACGAAAGUUAGGAGAUCGAAGACGAUCAGAUACCGUCGUAGUCUUAACCAUAAACUAUGCCGACUAGGGAUCGGACGAUGUUAAUUUUUUAAUGACUCGUUCGGCGCCUUACGGGAAACCAAAGUGUUUGGG
rnacentral:rRNA from 1 species